CCCAAAAGAACACAAAAAGUCCAAAAACCAAACAAAGUCCAGGUUCGGCUGUUUGGUCUGGAUCGUGAUCCGGGGGAAGUUUCACACCUGUAAUGUUGGUUCGGAUCAAACUGAAAAGCUUGAAAGUCCACAUCGAACAAGAGGCAGGAGUCUGUCUACACAAAAACUGGCUUGCAGAACGGAUCAGAGCCCUCGCUGCUCGCAGGGGGACGGUCUGGAGACUGCAACGCCCGAGAGACUGACGUUACAUUCAUUCUUAGUUACACUCACCCACACACACACACACACACACACACACACACACACACACACACACACACACACACAUCUAAAUAUAGAAACAGACAGACAGCAGGACACACAGACAGAGAUGUUCCUUUUUGAAAAUGACUGCAAUGAACAAAAAGACGAGUCUCAUCUAUCGACACCCUUUCUAGCUCAACGGAUCAAUAUUUGAAAAGAGAUACAAGACAGAAACAGCUCAGGAGCAUAAAGGAUCAUGGGAAAAGACUCACAGGACUAAUCUUCAUCCACGGUCAUCAUCACCCAAACUUUCAAUUACAGAUAUAUCAGGUGACACAGGUCAGGUGGUUCUGAGGAGAGAGAUGCUCUAAUGAAGGUUUGUGUGGAUUUAAUGGAUAGAUGCUUCAGUAACGUUUAUGCUCCACUGAUGUCUCAUUUUCAAUCAUUGCUUAUCGACUUUGGACUCCGGCAGGCCCAGAGGAUAAUUCUACUCUUCUGGAAAAAUGUGGACUUACUUUCUGAAGGAACGUGGACAAAGGAACUUGCAGCCUGCGUCGCUCUGGAGAGACUGACUUACAAUAUAUUGUUAAAGUUAGAGACAAGAACUUUUGGAAAAUCACACUUUGCUGUCUUGUUUUUUGUUUAGUUGUGUGUUUUUUUGUUUUGGGAGUGGGAAUGUAACACUGUACAAUGUCUAUAACUUAAAAACAUAAGAACAAUAUAUUUUUUAAACUACGGUG